rnacentral:rRNA from 1 species
AGUUCGAUUAUGGCUCAGAUUGAACGCUGGCGAUGUUUUACACAUGCAAGUCGAACGGCAGCACGGACUUCGGUCUGGUGGCGAGUGGCGAACGGGUGAGUAAUGCAUUUUGAACGCCUAGUAGUGGAGAACUGGCGCGAAAGCAAUAAUAAUGCAGUUACCGCCCUUCGGGGGAAAGCGGGGGACCUUCGGGCCUCGCACCAUUAGAGCGGCCGAUACCGGAUUAGCUGUGCUGGUGUGGUGCAACGGCUCACCAAGGCGACGAUCCGUAGCUGGUUUGAGAGGACGACCAGCCACACUGGGACUGGAGAUGACGGCCCAGACUCCUACGGGAGGCAAAAUAGUGGGGAAUUUUGGAGAAUGGGGAAACCCUGACCAGCCAUCCCAAGCGUGUGCGAUGAAGGCCUUCAAGCGCAAAAGCACUUUUGGCAGGAAAGAAACGGCACGGGGAUAAUACCCCAGGCAACUGACGGUACCUGCAGAAUAAGCACCGGCUAACUACGUGCUGCAGCCGGUAAUGGCCAGGGCGCCGUUAAUCGGAAUUACUGGGCGUAAAGCGUGCGCAGGCGGUUCGGAAAGAAAGAUGUGAAAUCCCAGAGCUUAACUUUGGUUCGUAAUGGAACCUACCGAGCUAGAGUGUAACAGAGGGAGGUAGGAAUUCCGCGUAGCAGUGAAAUGCGUAGAUAUGCGGAGGAACACCGAUGGCGAAGGUAGCCUCCUGGGAUAACACUGACGCCUGCACGAAAGCGUGGGGAGCAAACAGGAUUAGAUACCCUGGUAGUCCACGCCCUAAACGAUGUCAACUAGCUGGGAAGAGCCUGGGCCUGGUAGCGCAGCUAACGUGUGAAGUUGACCGCCUGGGAGUACGGGGCCCAAGAUUAAAACUCAAAGGAAUUGACGGGGACCCGCACAAGCGGUGGAUGAUGGGAUUAAUUCGAUGCAACGCGAAAACCUACCUACCCUUGACAUGUCUGAAUCCCGAAGAGAUUUCGGGAGCCGCAAGAGAACCGAACCACAGGUGCUGCAUGGCUGUCGUCAGCUCGCCGUGAGAUGUUGGGUUAAGUCCCGCAACGAGCGUAACCCUUGUCAAUAGUUGCGCGAAAGGCACUCUAAUGAGACUGCCGGUGACAAACCGGAGGAAGGUGGGGACGACGUCAGUCCUCACGCCCUUACGUAGCUUCACACGUCACACAAUGUACGGGACAGAGGUCGCUAACCCGCGAGGGGGAGCCAAUCCCAGAAACCUGAUCAGAACUGAUCGCAGUCUGCAACUCGACUGCGUGAAGUCGGAAUCGCUAGUAAUCGCGGAUCAGCAUGUCGCAGGUGAAUACGUUCCCGGUCUUGUACACACCGCCCGUCACACCAUGGGAGUGGGUUUUACCAGAAGUAGUUAGCCUAACCGUAAGGAGGCGAUUACCACGGUGAUCUCAUGACUGGGGUAAAGUCGGGAACAUGCAG